GGGAGGGUAGAGCUCAGUGAGAGCACAUGCUUAGCAUGCAUGAGGUCCUGGGUUCAAUCCCCAGCCCCUCCA
rnacentral:tRNA from 1 species